rnacentral:rRNA from 1 species
AUGGAAGACAGCGCCGUCAACCUCUCCACCCUGGGUGCGCUGGUGUGGCUUGGAGGGAGUCGACCACGCAUCAACGCCGAGGAGGUCAGGAACGCCAUCGCCACCAAAUUCGUCAUCAACCGCAACUUCAUCAAGGUGGUGCCGCACUAUCCAGAGGAUUUCUUCGUCCUCUUCUCCCACCAGCACCACCGCGACCUAGUCACCGCCUCGCCGGGCCGCUUCAACCACGGCGGGCUGGACUUCCACACCGCCAAAUGGAGGCCGGAGGCACACGCUGAUCUGGUGGAGGCGUACUACCAUGUUCACCUGUGCAUUGAAAAUCUGCCGCUCAACGCAUGGUGCAACGAGGUGGCAACCCAAGUGCUCGGCCCCGACACUUUCCUGCACUACUUCGACAUCGCCACAGUCAAGAGAGAUGACGCCUCCUCCCUCGACCUUUGGGCAUGGUCUGCCAACCCCUCCGCCAUCCCCAAGGUUCUCCGGCUGACGGUCACUAACAACCAGCCGGCGGGCUACAGCAACGGCCCAAGCGCUGCCGUUGGCCGGCGUGGGCUCAAGCGGCGCGUCCUGGUUCACCUCAACCUGGUUGAGGAUUUCACCCCCGACGCCAAUGGCAACAUCCCCCGCCGGCCUCGUUCCUCGCAUCCGUUCACCUUUCGCUAUGGGGUCAUCGAUGGUGAAUCCAGGAUGCGGGACAGAAUGGAGGUAGCUGGGAGACGUCACGACAGCCACGACCGCGACCACGACAGGGAUCGCGACCACGACCGCGACAGAAGAGACGACGACCGUGACCGUGGCCGCCGUGGGCGCGACGAGCGCCCUUCCUCCUGGCGAGAGCGCUUCUUCCGGAGCAGGUCUCGCGCCCCUGAGCGUCGCCAUGACGAUGGGCGCCGAGACAGCAGAGAGGACCGCCGGGACGACCGUAGCUGUCAAGGGCGACGUCGCCGUCACGAGGCCCCCGACGCGCGCUCCAUCGACAACAAGCUGGUCCAGCGCCUCUCGGACGGCGCCGUCAUCCCAGCCUCUGGUAGACGCGGCCGUCGCCGCCCUGCGGACUGCCCGACACGCCCUGGGCGCUCUGGGGGGGAGGCUGCUAGCCCGGUCAACGAAGACACCCGUGGCCGCUCGCCCCCUUCCUCGCCACGCUCGACCUCCUGUGAUGUGAUUCAGCUCACCUCCGUGCCAGGCCAGGUCUCUUGGCUGCGGUGGAUCGCUCCCUGUUUCGACACCAAGCAACGACAGGCAGCUGUGUGCCCUGCUCUGGCGACGCCAACACCUCCCCGUACCACGACCCUGGACAUCAUCGAGAUCAUCCCGUCCUCUCCUGUAGUGCAAGACAGUGGAGCUGCUGCUCCAUCUCCUUCCUCCGAAGCUGAGGCUGAGCCGGUCACCCCGAUCUUUGUCCCGGCUGUCAGCCCGGUUGCUGGCAAUGCGGGGACACCGCCGUGCUCUCCCCUGUUUGUCGCCUGCCAGCCAUCCCUGCUCGCUGCACCAAGCUCGCCCUCCCCAAGGCCAAGACCACCGACAAGGAGAAGGAAGACGCUGGCUGGAGUCGUAGGCUUCAACCUUACUCGCUCCAGCCCUCGUCUCCAAGCCAAGGGGAGAAAGAUGCCGAUUGCGAAGAUGGCGGAGAAGCUGCUAUGCCAGCGCAUGGGCGUCGUGGAUGAAGGCCAACAAGUCACAGAUGAAGCCAUUGACAAAUUUGUGGCCAUGUUCCAAGGGCAACUCCCUGACAUCACAGUGGCAGCUCUCCGGGCGUUGUUCAACCUCGACUGUGACUUGGCGCAAGCCGUCGAGGAUGCCCUGGUGGCUCAUGGUGGUGAGGCGGGUCCGGAGCUGCAGGCGGUGAUGGGGGACGCGUCCGGCUCGGCGGAGUGA